AGGUGUGAUCAUACCAGCACUAAUGCACCGGAUCCCAUCAGAACUCUGUAGUGAAGCGUGCUUGGGCAAGAGUAGUACCAGGAUGGGUGACCUGCUAGAAGUCCUCGUGUUGCACUUC
rnacentral:rRNA from 1 species